UUUCCUUUGGCUCAGUUGGUAGAGCGUUGCGAGGGAAACGCAAAGUUCGUGGGUUUAAAUCCCAGUUUAAAAU